rfam:Angiostrongylus cantonensis strain Taiwan genome assembly, scaffold: ACAC_contig0000933
GGCCGAAUGGUUUAGAGGUAUGGUCUUCGCUUCGGAUGCGAAAGGUCCCGGGUUCGAAUCCCAGCUCGGCUC